ACAGAUCGUUCAGAGUUUGAUCCUGGCUCAGGAUGAACGCUGGCGGCGUGCAUAACACAUUCAAGUCGAACGGUGACGACCUUCGGGUCUGAUCAGUGGCGGACGGGUGAGUAACGCGUGAGCAACCUGCCUUACAGGUACGGGAUAACGUCCGGAAACAGACGCUAAUACCGUAUAAUGCAUGGAUAUCGCAUGAUGACCAUGCCAAAGUAUUUAUUGCUGUAAGAGUGGGCUCGCGUCUGAUUAGGUAGUUGGCGGGGAACGGCCCACCAAGCCUACGAUCAGUAGCCGGACUGAGAGGUUGAACGGCCACAUUGGAACUGAGAAACGGUCCAG
rnacentral:rRNA from 1 species